rnacentral:rRNA from 1 species
GAGUUUGAUCCUGGCUCAGAACGUACGCUGGCGGCACGCCUAACACAUGCAAGUCGAACGAAGUAGCAAUACUUAGUGGCAGACGGGUGAGUAACAUGUAGGUAUCUGCCCUUUGGCCUGGAAUAACACGAGGAAACUUGUGCUAAUACCGGAUAAGUCUUUACGGAGAAAGCUCUAUGCACCAUUGGAUGAGCCUGCACUUGAUUAGUUUGUUGGUAGGGUAAUGGCCUACCAAGACUGUGAUCAAUAGCUGAUUUGAGAGGAUGAUCAGCCACAUUGGGACUGAGACACGGCCCAAACUCCUACGGGAGGCAGCAGUGGGGAAUCUUGCACAAUGGAGGAAACUCUGAUGCAGCGAUGCCGCGUGAGUGAAGAAGGCCCUUGGGUUGUAAAGCUCUUUCGUCGGGGAAGAAAAUGACUGUACCCGAAUAAGAAGGUCCGGCUAACUUCGUGCCAGCAGCCGCGGUAAUACGAAGGGACCUAGCGUAGUUCGGAAUUACUGGGCUUAAAGAGUUCGUAGGUGGUUGAAAAAGUUGGUGGUGAAAUCCCAGAGCUUAACUCUGGAACUGCCAUCAAAACUUUUCAGCUAGAGUAUGAUAGAGGAAAGCAGAAUUUCUAGUGUAGAGGUGAAAUUCGUAGAUAUUAGAAAGAAUACCAAUUGCGAAGGCAGCUUUCUGGAUCAUUACUGACACUGAGGAACGAAAGCAUGGGUAGCGAAGAGGAUUAGAUACCCUCGUAGUCCAUGCCGUAAACGAUGUGUGUUAGACGUUGGAAAUUUAUUUUCAGUGUCGCAGCGAAAGCGAUAAACACACCGCCUGGGGAGUACGA